GAGGAAUAUUGGUCAAUGGGCGGAAGCCUGAACCAGCCAUGCCGCGUGCAGGACGACGGCCCUACGGGUUGUAAACUGCUUUUCCGGGGGAAGAAUAACCCCCCUGCGGGGGGGGAUGCCGGUACCCCGGGAAUAAGGAUCGGCUAACUCCGUGCCAGCAGCCGCGGUAAUACGGAGGAUCCUAGCGUUAUCCGGAUUUACUGGGUUUAAAGGGUGCGUAGGCGGGCGCUUAAGUCCGCGGUGAAAGUCUGCGGCUCAACCGUAGGAUUGCCGUGGAUACUGGGCGUCUUGGAUUCGGUCGGGGCGGGCGGAAUGCGUGGUGUAGCGGUGAAAUGCAUAGAUAUCACGCAGAACGCCGAUAGCGAAGGCAGCUCGCCGGGCCGACAUCGACGCUGAGGCACGAAAGCGUGGGGAUCAAAC
rnacentral:rRNA from 1 species